rnacentral:rRNA from 1 species
GUGCGCACGGCGGUUUUUGUUAAGUCUGUCGUGAAAGCCCCCGGGCUCAACCUGGGAAUUGCGAUGGAGACUGCAAGGCUUGAAUCUGGCAGAGGGGGGGUAGAAUUCCACGUGUAGCAGUGAAAUGCGUAGAGAUGUGGAGGAACACCGAUGGCGAAGGCAGCCCCCUGGGUCAAGAUUGACGCUCAUGCACGAAAGCGUGGGGAGCAAACAGGAUUAGAUACCCUAGU